rnacentral:tRNA from 1 species
UCCUUCGUAGUGUAACGGUUAGCACACUCGGCCUGUGUUCGAGAGGUCCAGGGUUCGAGUCCCGGCGAAGGUA